UACGUAGGGUGCAAGCGUUGUCCGGAAUUAUUGGGCGUAAAGAGCUCGUAGGCGGUUUGUCGCGUCUGCUGUGAAAACUCGGGGCUUAACUCCGGGCCUGCAGUGGGUACGGGCAGACUAGAGUGCGGUAGGGGAGACUGGAAUUCCUGGUGUAGCGGUGAAAUGCGCAGAUAUCAGGAGGAACACCUGUGGCGAAAGCGGCUCACUGGACCAUAACUGACGCUGAUGCACGAAAGCUGGGGGAGCAAACAGG
rnacentral:rRNA from 1 species